rnacentral:lncRNA from 1 species
UAUCGAUUCAGCGAGAGAUUAGGUACAAAAUUAGCAUUAACCGCAUCUAUCUUGUAUUUUUAUUAGCAUUAACAUGCAGAAAUCAAAAGUGCCAACAUGCAAACAAAAUCUGCAGUUUAAUCUUGCUGAAGAUGAAACUAUAUAUAGAGAGUGGAGUACUGAUAUUAAUCAGUAAGAAGCAAUUUUGUUUUAUUAUAUAAGAAGAAAAAUAACAAAAACAGAGAAACACACCCACAUGAACACAACAUGGCAACAGUUCUCUGAACACCAUUUAUUUGUUGCCCAUUGUACUAUAUAGUAGGCGCAUGGUAUCAUAUAUAUUGAUACAUAUAUAAUGCAGUUGGAAUUGAAGCAUAAAGUAGAAGAAAACAAAGAGUACAAUAGUAGAGUACAUAUAUAUGAAUUGCCAAACUUGAUUCACACAAAGUGAAGUGAGUUCCAGGAAUAGGAAAAUGCCAAAGGAUGGAAGUUGCCCUUUUCAAGAGAAAAUCGCCCUUAAGAAGGACGGUUCAUUCCCAGCAAUCUUUCAACUUAUUAUACAUUCUUGCUCUACCAUGAUCGAAUCAAAAGGAAACAUUGACAAAAAUGGAGGAUAACCAGUAAUUACCCCCCAUCUAUGCCUCUGCACCACCUCCAUGCCACAGAGAAGCAGUGAGGGUUAAUAGUGAUGGGGUGCAGUUUGGAGAGGAUUUGAGAAGGAGUGUUGGAUUUGGCGUUAUAGGAUUGUUUGCGAGAUGAGUUCUGUAUAUAGCUAGUGUAGCUAGUGUGAGGAGUGACUUUUUGUGAAAAGUAACGUUUGAAUAAAACAGAAAAAGAGUUUAAUGGAGAUUCUCAUUUUAGCAUCUUCCAAAGCAUAUACCAUUGCCACCUCCAUUGCUC